UGAGACUUAUGCAGAGAUGGUUUGGUGCCUUCGGGAACUCUGAGACAGGUGCUGCAUGGCUGUCGUCAGCUCGUGUUGUGAAAUGUUGGGUUAAGUCCCGCAACGAGCGCAACCCUUAUCCUUUGUUGCCAGCGGUUCGGCCGGGAACUCAAAGGAGACUGCCAGUGAUAAACUGGAGGAAGGUGGGGAUGACGUCAAGUCAUCAUGGCCCUUACGAGUAGGGCUACACACGUGCUACAAUGGCGCAUACAAAGAGAAGCGACCUCGCGAGAGCAAGCGGACCUCAUAAAGUGCGUCGUAGUCCGGAUUGGAGUCUGCAACUCGACUCCAUGAAGUCGGAAUCGCUAGUAAUCGUAGAUCAGAAUGCUACGGUGAAUACGUUCCCGGGUCUUGUACACACCGA
rnacentral:rRNA from 1 species